AGAGUGAACGCUGGCGGUAGGCCUAACACAUGCAAGUCGAACGGCAGCACAGUGGUAGCAAUACCAUGGGUGGCGAGUGGCGGACGGGUGAGGAAUACAUCGGAAUCUACCUUUUCGUGGGGGAUAACGUAGGGAAACUUACGCUAAUACCGCAUACGCCCUUUGGGGGAAAGCCGGGGAUCGCAAGACCUGGCGCGGAUAGAUGAGCCGAUGUCGGAUUAGCGUAGUUGGUAGAGGUAAUGGCUCA
rnacentral:rRNA from 1 species